AGUACUCCUACGGGGAGGCAGCAGUGGGGGAAUAUUGCACAAUGGGCGCAAGCCUGAUGCAGCCAUGCCGCGUGUGUGAAGAAGGCCUUCGGGUUGUAAAGCACUUUCAGUCGUGAGGAAGGUAGUGUAGUUAAUAGCUGCAUUAUUUGACGUUAGCGACAGAAGAAGCACCGGCUAACUCCGUGCCAGCAGCCGCGGUAAUACGGAGGGUGCGAGCGUUAAUCGGAAUUACUGGGCGUAAAGCGCAUGCAGGUGGUUUGUUAAGUCAGAUGUGAAAGCCCGGGGCUCAACCUCGGAAUAGCAUUUGAAACUGGCAGACUAGAGUACUGUAGAGGGGGGUAGGAAUUUCAGGUGUAGCGGUGAAAUGCGUAGAGAUCUGAAGGAAUACCGGUGGCGAAGGCGGCCCCCUCGGACAGAUACUGACACUCAGAUGCGAAAGCGUGGGGAGCAAACAGGAUUAGAUACCCUGGUAG
rnacentral:rRNA from 1 species